CAAUAGCGUAUAUUUAAGUUGUUGCAGUUAAAAAGCUCGUAGUUGGAUUUCGGAUGGGACUUGCCGGUCCGUCGUUUCGAUGUGCACUGGCCAGUCCUAUCUUGUUGUCGGGGACUAGCUCCUGGGCUUCACUGUCCGGGACUAGGAGCUGACGAGGUUACUUUGAGUAAAUUAGAGUGUUCAAAGCAAGCCUACGCUCUGAAUACAUUAGCAUGGAAUAACACGAUAGGACUCUGGCUUAUCUUGUUGGUCUGUGAGACCAGAGUAACGAUUAAGAGGGACAGUCGGGGGCAUUCGUAUUUCAUUGUCAGAGGUGAAAUUCUUGGAUUUAUGAAAGACGAACUUCUGCGAAAGCAUUUGUCAAGGAUGUUUUCAUUAA
rnacentral:rRNA from 1 species